AUGGCGGCGCCCAUAUCGUGGAAAAUUGGCGACUGAAUUAGCUUCAUUUCCCUGGAGCUGGAGACUUUAAAGCCGCUGGUUGCUUAAUCUCAUCAUGGCGGAUUGGUGACAUCAGGUCCAAUCCUGUGGCGACCUUGCUCAAAAGCCACAAGUGAGGAUCAGCUUGGAUCAGGAGCAGUGUUACACUGUAGAUCGAUCAGUGGUCAGGAGUGACCAGACCAGAGGAAAGCACACAACUCAUGCUGAGCUCUUAGGAGCCAACACAUUUCUCUGAUUGUUGGGGAUCCCGCCAUUCAACAGCAAGGAUGGCUCGGGAUAUGUCAGAUAAGGAAAUCCUGAAAAUGGAGUUGGACCAGUUGAAGAAGGAAGUUAACACACCAAGAUCAGCAGUGAGUAAAAACUGUGCGGACACAAUUGCUUUCGUGGAAGGAUUGAUGCCAAAUGAUCCGCUGAUCAAAGGAGUUCCGGAUGACAAGAACCCCUACAAGGGAGACAAAGGAGGCUGCACUAUAACAUAGCACACUGCUUUCUAAGGAAAAGUAAAAAAUAUGUCUUUUUUUUCGUUUUUAAGAAGAGUUGGUUGCUUUGGGAUGGCAGAACUCUUGAAUACUUGUAGAUAAAAUGUACAGUAGAAAAACUAGUGUGAUGAUUCUUCCAGAAAGAACUUUUCCACCAAUGAGUAUGUAUUUCAAAUAAAUAAAAACCUGUUUGACUGUAAUUAAAAGUAAAUAGAUGUUUAAAUCUUAAAACUGA